AACGUAGGAGACAAACGUUAUCCGGAGUUACUGGGCGUAAAGGGCGUGGAGGUGGUUUCGUAAGUCUGGCGUGAAAUAUCUCGGCUUAACCGAGGCAGGUCGUCGGAUACUGCGGAACUGGAGGACGGUAGAGGCGUGUGGAAUUCCGGGUGUAGUGGUGAAAUGCGUAGAGAUCCGGGGGAACACCAGUGGCGAAGGCGACACGCUGGGCCGUACCUGACACUGAUGCGCGACAGCACGGGGAGCAAACAGG
rnacentral:rRNA from 1 species